rnacentral:tRNA from 1 species
ACAGUAGUAAACUAAGUGAAGUUAGUGGGGUUCAUGGCUCUGGGUAUGUGGUUUUAAUGAACUACCUACUGUU